rnacentral:rRNA from 1 species
AUGAACGCUGGCGGCGUGCCUAAUCCAUGCAAGUCGAGCGAACGGACGAGAAGCUUGCUUCUCUGAUGUUAGCGGCGGACGGGUGAGUAACACGUGGAUAACCUACCUAUAAGACUGGGAUAACUUCGGGAAACCGGAGCUAAUACCGGAUGAUAUUUUGAACCGCAUGGUUCAAAAGUGAAAGACGGUCUUGCUGUCACUUAUAGAUGGAUCCGCGCUGCAUUAGCUAGUUGGUAAGGUAACGGCUUACCAAGGCAACGAUGCAUAGCCGACCUGAGAGGGUGAUCGGCCACACUGGAACUGAGACACGGUCCAGACUCCUACGGGAGGCAGCAGUAGGGAAUCUUCCGCAAAGGGCGAAAGCCUGACGGAGCAACGCCGCGUGAGUGAUGAAGGUCUUCGGAUCGUAAAACUCUGUUAUUAGGGAAGAACAUAUGUGUAAGUAACUGUGCACAUCUUGACGGUACCUAAUCAGAAAGCCACGGCUAACUACGUG